GUGGGAAGUUCUUCUGCUGGUUCUUCCUGAGAUCACUCAUGUGGCUGCAGUCUUUUGAUGACUACACUCAAGCUGGAGGUUCUGACAUGAUGUCUCAGCCAAGAAGUGUAUCACAUUGACACCAACUUAACUCAUGACUGCAGGCUGGCUUUCCAAUCCAUUAGUGCCCUCCACAAGUCAAGUGUUGGACCACAGGAAAUGAAGAAGUAGAGCUUUGGUUUACAUAUGUUGACGUGAACAACUCAGUUGCACCCGUUAUGAGAGUAACUGCUCAGCUUAUGAUGAGUGAAUAGGUCAUCCAGCAAGAAACAGAAAACACAGAAAUGGACCUUCUUUGGGAGCAGGGUAGCAAGGUAUAACUCCGAUUUCAUUUAUAAUUUAAUAAUAAACAGCUGCAGACGCCAUGUCAGAUGAAAUACAGGUCAAGAAGAGGAUGGGUAACCGGUAAAUACUUGAACCCUCCAGUUAUUCAUUGAAAUUUCAUGAGUGCCAACUCAUUAGCCAGAUCCUAUCAUAGACAAGCCUCUCUCUCUCCUCAUCACUGUGUUCAUCCCCACUCAUCAUUCAUUAGUUUUUACUGGCAAAUGGCUCAGUACCAGGUGCUUUGCUGCAUGUGCUAGUGAAUAGCAUAUUGCCUUUAGAAAUGCUCUGUGUCAAAAUUCUAAAAGAAAAAAUAUAUGGAUUACUGUUCUUAGCUUUCCAUUCAUUCUCUAGCAACUCUGUUAACAUCAUGGGCUUCUCAGAGCAUGGCUGAGGAGGCAUUUCUUCCAGCCACACAACAAUUCCACAGAAAUAAAGAAGGGCCCAAGCUAGUAAGAUCUCACAUGAAACUGGUAAAGUAUGGGUUUGCCACAGCUGUUGUUAGGUCACUUUCUCUGUGCAGUCAAGUCUCAACAUCUGGUGCAAACUACUUGGCUGAGGCAACAGAAUGGUAUCUGGCUUUCAAAUCAUCAAGGCACAAUCACUUGGCCUCACGAAGUGAUCUAAUUAGAUAAGAGAUCUCAACACUAUUGAAACAUGGUUACUAUGAUGUUUGCAAUAUAAUAGGUCUCUACAGUUCAGGCUAACCUUUUAAAGAUAAAAGGUUUAUCUUUUAGUCGUUUUUUCAAUAUAUGCCUUAAGUAAACUGUCACAAAAUUGACCACAUAAAUAAGCAUAAAAUAAAUUUUAUGUAAAAAAAUGUGGUUCUUCCUUUCUCACUGUGAGCCUUAACUCUCUGCAAGAAAUAGCUCUGCCACAGCAUUAUCUCAGAGCCCCGCAAUGGAGCCCUCCCUGACUCUUCACGUUAUCCCUGUGGGUUUACCUGGUCAGUCACUGGGUAUUGUCAAUUAUUUAUGAAUAUUGCUCUCAUUUCUGUUCUCUCUGGUUUCAUUCCAGGUCAGGUCUUCAUAAUCAGGGGCUUAAUCAACAUUAUAUAUGGUAUAUUUAUUUAAACAUUCUUGAAGACUCUUGUUAGAGAACAUCAUGGUAUAAGUGAGUCUCUUGUUUGUUUGUUUGCAAUUCAGCUGAAUGAAGACUUAAGCCAUAUGUCUAUAUAGAUAAACACUAUGGCAAGUGAGAGUCUGAGAUGAUAGGGCUCUCCCAUGGUGAAAGGGUUUGUUGGCUCUCAAAAGAUGGCAGCAGCAUAGAGCUGGAAAUAGAGGUGUAAUGUUAGAGACAGUGGUUCUCCCACAGUGUCCCCUGUAAUAAUAGUUGUAAAUUAUUCUCUUCUUUUUGCCUCCCUUGGGUUGAGCCUGAACAAAAAAAUUAUAAAUAUGUGAACACAGUCAAAUGACAGGCAAUAUAUUUUGCAAACUUAUGGGAGGGAAAGAGCUAAUUGUCUUAAUUUAAAAAACUCACUCAUACAAGUCACUGAAAUAAAACAAAAUCAUCCAGUAGAAAUAUGGCCAAGGCACAGGAACAGAUAGCUCCCAUGGAUUUAAAGAUAAAUUGAACUCAAAGAGGAAAGUGUCCCAAAUCAAAAUUAAAACUAUACAUUUUUAUUUUCUUAUAAAUUAGUAAGGAUCAGAAAGUGUAGUGUUUGUUAGAAGGUGCAGAACUAUAUGCAGAACUAUACUCACAUGUUGCAGGGAAUAUAAACUUUUAUGAAGUACAAUUUGUCAAAAGCUAUAAAAAUUUAAAUAGACAUAUUUUGGUAAAGAAUUCCACUUGGCUAUUGACACUAGAUGUGCAUGGAAACAUAUGUACGAGAAUGUAUAUAUAUUAUUGCUUAUGAGUUUAAAAGACUAAGAAACAACCUGAACAUCCAGCAAUAGGGGAUUUAUAAAUAAAUGGUAACUCCAUUGAAUGAAAUAGUAUGCAGUUUCAGCUGUCAAAAAGAAGGAGGCUCUGUACAUACCAAGACAAACUGACUGACUUCCACGAUAAGGUGAAAAAUGCAAAAUACUGAAUAGUGUGUAUAAAAUUCAAGUUGUGUUAAAAAGGAAAUGAAAUGUAUUACCAAUUUUAGCAUAUGCCCGUAUUAUCCAUGGAUGUUUACACAAAAACUUGGUAAUAGUGUGACUGCAUCUUGGGUGCAGAAGCAAGGGGCUAGAAGUCAUUGGCAGAAAGAAAAUAUAAUUUUCACUGAAUACUUAUUUGUUGCCUUUAAAAUGUUCACGUUUGCAUGUAUUUAUGUAACCUUUCAAAAAAUUG
rnacentral:lncRNA from 1 species